rnacentral:pre_miRNA from 1 species
AAUUUCAACUGAAAAUGUCAUGAACACAAAAGUUGUAGAGCUCAUCAAGACAUACAAUUUUUAUUUUUAUCAUUUUUUCAUCCGACAAAGUGAUAGUAACAUUGUUCACAAAGUUUACAUCUCUCUUUUAUGGAGUAGUAUAUAAAACAGAUAAGUAAGAUGUAAAAUUUAUGAACAAUGUUACUAUCACUUUGUCGGAUGAAAAAAUGACCAAAAUAAAAGCUAUAGAUCUUGAUAAGUUAUACAACUUUGUUGUUGAUGACUUUUUCAGUUGAAAUC